UACGGAGGGUGCAAGCGUUAUCCGGAUUUACUGGGUUUAAAGGGUGCGCAGGCGGAUAUGUAAGUCAGUGGUGAAAUCUCCGGGCUUAACCCGGAACUGCCGUUGAUACUAUCUGUCUUGAAUAUCGUGGAGGUAAGCGGAAUAUGUCAUGUAGCGGUGAAAUGCUUAGAUAUGACAUAGAACACCCAUUGCGAAGGCAGCUUACUACACGAUCAUUGACGCUGAGGCACGAAAGCGUGGGGAGCAAACAGG
rnacentral:rRNA from 1 species